AAAAACAUGUCUUUUUGAAAAUAAUUUAAGGUUUAAUCUGCCCACUGAUGAAAAUUGAAGGGCUGCAGUAUAUUGACUGUACAAAGGUAGCAUAAUCAAUAGUCUUUUAAUUGAAGACUUGUAUGAAUGAUUUGAUGAAAUAUAAACUGUCUCUGAUUUAAAUAUAGAAUUUAAUUUUUUAGUCAAAAAGCUAAAAUGAUUUUAAAAGACGAGAAGACCCUAUAGAGUUUUAUAUUUAAAUUAUUUAAUAUUUUAUAUAUAAAUUAUAAUAAAAAUUAAUUAAAAUAUUUUAUUGGGGUGAUAGAAAAAUUUAAGAAACUUUUUUUAAAAAAAAUCAUAAAUAAAUGAAAUAAUGAUCCAUAAUUAAUGAUUAAAAGAAAAAAUUACCUUAGGGAUAACAGCGUAAUUUUUUUUUUUAGUUCAAAUAAGAAAAAGAGAUUGCGACCUCGAUGUUGGAUUAAGAUAAAAUUUAAAUGCAAAAGUUUAAAAUUUUGAUCUGUUCGAUCAUUAAAAUCUUACAUGAUCUGA
rnacentral:rRNA from 1 species